rnacentral:rRNA from 1 species
AACGAACGCUGGCGGCAGGCUUAACACAUGCAAGUCGAACGGAUCCUUCGGGAUUAGUGGCCGACGGGUGAGUAACGCGUGGGAACGUACCCUUUGCUACGGAAUAACUCAGGGAAACUUGAGCUAAUACCGUAUGUGCCCUACGGGGGAAAGAUUUAUCGGCAAAGGAUCGGCCCGCGUUGGAUUAGCUAGUUGGUGGGGUAAUGGCCUACCAAGGCGACGAUCCAUAGCUGGUCUGAGAGGAUGAUCAGCCACACUGGGACUGAGACACGGCCCAGACCCCUGGGGGAGGCGGGAGGGGGGAAUAUGGGAAAAUGGCCGAAGUCCGGAUCCACCCAGGCCGGGUGAGUGAUGAGGUUGUUGGGAUUGAAAACCUCUUUCCCGGGUAAAGAUAAGGACGGUAGCGGGAGAAGAAGCCCCGGCUAACUUCGUG